AUUGAACGCUGGCGGCAUGCCUUACACGUGCAAGUCGAACGGUAACAGGUCUUCGGAUGCUGACGAGUGGCGAACGGGUGAGUAAUACAUCGGAACGUGCCUAGUAGUGGGGGAUAACUACUCGAAAGAGUGGCUAAUACCGCAUGAGAUCUACGGAUGAAAGCAGGGGAUCGCAAGACCUUGUGCUACUAGAGCGGCCGAUGGCAGAGUUAGGUAGUUGGUGGGAUAAAAGCUUACCAAGCCGACGAUCUGUAGCCGGUCUGAGAGCACGAUCAGCCACACUGGGACUGAGACACAGCCCAGACUCCGCCGGGAGGCAGCAGUGGGGAAUUUGGGACAAGGGGCGAAAGCCUGAUGCAGCAAUGCCGCGUGCAGGAUGAAGGCCUUCGGGUUGUAAACUGCUUUUGUACGGAACGAAAAGCCCCGGGUUAAUACCCUGGGGUCAUGACGGUACCGUAAGAAUAAGCACCGGCUAACUACGUGCCAGCCGCUGCCGUAA
rnacentral:rRNA from 1 species